UACAUGGUAAGUGUACUGGAAAGUGCACUUGGAUUAA
rnacentral:rRNA from 1 species